rnacentral:rRNA from 1 species
GUGGGGAAUAUUGGACAAUGGGGGGAACCCUGAUCCAGCCAUGCCGCGUGUGUGAAGAAGGCCUUUUGGUUGUAAAGCACUUUAAGCGAGGAGGAGGCUACCAAGAUUAAUACUCUUGGAUAGUGGACGUUACUCGCAGAAUAAGCACCGGCUAACUCUGUGCCAGCAGCCGCGGUAAUACAGAGGGUGCAAGCGUUAAUCGGAUUUACUGGGCGUAAAGCGCGCGUAGGUGGCCAAUUAAGUCAAAUGUGAAAUCCCCGAGCUUAACUUGGGAAUUGCAUUCGAUACUGGUUGGCUAGAGUAUGGGAGAGGAUGGUAGAAUUCCAGGUGUAGCGGUGAAAUGCGUAGAGAUCUGGAGGAAUACCGAUGGCGAAGGCAGCCAUCUGGCCUAAUACUGACACUGAGGUGCGAAAGCAUGGGGAGCAAACAGGAUUAGAAACCCCAGUAGUCC